rnacentral:rRNA from 1 species
CUCAAAGAUUAAGCCAUGCAUGUCUAAGUAUAAGCAAUUAUACAGCGAAACUGCGAAUGGCUCAUUAUAUAAGUUAUCGUUUAUUUGAUAGUACCUUACUACUUGGAUAACCGUGGUAAUUCUAGAGCUAAUACAUGCUAAAAAUCCCGACUUACGAAGGGAUGUAUUUAUUAGAUUAAAAACCAAUGCCCUUCGGGGCUCACUGGUGAUUCAUAAUAACUUCUCGAAUCGCAUGGCCUUGCGCCGGCGAUGGUUCAUUCAAAUUUCUUCCCUAUCAACUUUCGAUGCUAGAGUAGUGUUCUAGCAUGGUUACAACGGGUAACGGAGGGUUAGGGCUCGACCCCGGAGAAGGAGCCUGAGAAACGGCUACUACAUCCAAGGAAGGCAGCAGGCGCGCAAAUUACCCAAUCCCGACACGGGGAGGUAGUGACGAUAAAUACUGAUACAGGGCUCUUUUGGGUCUUGUAAUUGGAAUGAGUACAAUUUAAAUCCCUUAACGAGGAACAAUUGGAGGGCAAGUCUGGUGCCAGCAGCCGCGGUAAUUCCAGCUCCAAUAGCGUAUAUUAAAGUUGUUGUGGUUAAAAAGCUCGUAGUAGAACCUUGGGCCUGGCUGGCCGGUCCGCCUCACCGCGUGCACUGGUCCGGCCGGGCCUUUCCCCCUGUGGAACCUCAUGCCCUUCACUGGGUGUGUGGGAAAACAGGACUUUUACUUUGAAAAAAUUAGAGUGCUCCAGGCAGGCCUAUGCUCGAAUACAUUAGCAUGGAAUAAUAGAAUAGGACGUGUGGUUCUAUUUUGUUGGUUUCUAGGACCGCCGUAAUGAUUAAUAGGGACAGUCGGGGGCAUCAGUAUUCAAUUGUCAGAGGUGAAAUUCUUGGAUUUAUUGAAGACUAACUACUGCGAAAGCAUUUGCCAAGGAUGUUUUCAUUUAUCAGGAACGAAAGUUAGGGGAUCGAAGACGAUCAGAUACCGUCGUAGUCUUAACCAUAAACUAUGCCGACUAGGGAUCGGACGAUGUUAUUUUUUGACUCGUUCGGCAC